rnacentral:misc_RNA from 1 species
CUUAAAUAUUAUUAAAAAAAUAUUAAAAUUCAAGCAUGUAGUCCAACAAAUUACCAAUUUUAUCUCAAAAAUCGAAGCAAAAUAAUGGAUCAAAGCAUUUCAGAGUAAGCAAAACUUUAAACCACAGCCAUCAAAGCUAUGAAGGUAAAAGUUUCGGCAGCAACCAGAACCCUCCAACUUCACUUAAAUUAAGAGAGGCAUGUAAUUGGCAGUUUUUUCCUUAGUAAUGUAAGUCUUGACUCGCAUUUUACCUAUAAGUCCCACCAAUGGUUUCACUCUUUUCAUUUCUACAACAUACAGCUAAAAAUUAAGAAGAAAAGGAAAUAAAAAUGAUAACCAAAUUUGUUCUGCAAUAUCCAUUCAAAAAUAAAUUAUUCAACCCUUACACCAACUACUUCUGAUUGAUAAUAGCCCUUUGUAUAACCCUGCCAUCAACUCCCAUGUUCAAUACCACCCUUAAAUUCCCCAUCCUCCGUAGUUAUCUUGAAAAAGACUAGUUAUCAUGCAAUAUUAACAGCAACUGGCUUCCCCCGACCCAUAGCAAAUCCUCUUGUGCCAUCAGGCAUACGGGGCCCUGGAGGUUGCUUCACCAUCACUGGCUGCUCACCAAUAACUGAAUUAUUAGAAGGGGGUGUUCCCACGUGAUUUCCACGGUUAUUAUGAUGGUACUGAGCCCUCCCACGCCCCUUGCCCCGACCCCGAUUGCGUCCUUUUCUAUGUGCACCCUCCUUGUCAUUCACAUGAUCCUCUCCCUGCCCAAGCAAAGGCACCUUAAAACUGAGACAGAUAGUUCAUGUGAAUGAGCAACAUAUUGUUGGCAAGGGUCUUCAUUCCGUUUUUCAUUCAGCUGUUGCUCAGGUGUACAAGCCUCAUCUUCCUCAGAGUACCCUUGCCCAUCAUGUCCCUUCUUUCCCCGAGCUUGGGUAGGUUUUGACAUGUGUUUUAGCAUUAACCGAACUUUAAGACCACUCCAGUUCUCCUCAUCAUUUAGCUCAACUACUGCUUUCUCAGCUAUCUCAACAGACUCAUAUUCCACAAAUGCAUGCAACUGCACAUGACACAAGUUGCAAUGUUAGAUAAGCAUCUCAAUACCAAAUUAAAUAUAUUAUUCAAUACCAAAAGAUUAGCAACACAUAUGAGCUGCUAAAAUAACAAUAGAAUAGCUACAAAAUUCAUGUCUUCAAUGAAAACAAGCCUUGCAUGGCAUUAACUGCCAAUGCUACAAAUUCCAACUGUGUAUUGGCAAUUUGGCAUCGAAGGAUAAACAACACAUCUUUCAUCAUAUCAGGAUCACUGUCUCACUUUACUACUUGCUUCCAUCCAGUCCCCCCCUCCUUCUAAUGCACCUUCCAUUCUCGCAGUUUCAAACUGUCUUAGCAAAUACAGAGCCCACCCAAUGACUCUUAACAUAGGAAACAAAAUAAGAAUUCCCUGUCAUUUCUUGCCUUUUUUUUUUCAACUUUUUUGGCUGGUCUGUCUUCAGGGACAAGAUUCAAAAUCAUGUUAUUUAUCAUUGGCAUCUUUUCAAGCAUGUAAAAUUUAUUCUUCCUUUUUAUAUUUCCAGCUUUGCAGCUCCAGUUAUCCUUGGGCAUCGCCAUUAGAAAACCAGCACAAGACGGUGUAACCAAACAAGGGAAAUUGAGAUUGUUGACAAAUGAAAAAACAUAACAAAAAGCUUAAAAAAUAUGGCAAAGGUGGUCCCAUGUGUUUCAUGUAUGCAUCCAUGAACAUCAAGACAAAUGAACCUUGUUACUGAAAUGCAUUCCAUCAGCUUUUGCAGAUCUAGAUGCUGAAGAGGCCCCACCACCAGAAGUUUGAGGUGGACAGGUACGGAUAGUCUUCACACUUCCAACAGCAGAGAAUAUCUUCAUGAGGUUUUGAUGACAAUGAUCUUCAGGUAAAUUUUCAGCAACAAUUAUGCGAGAUUGCAACUCUUCCACAUCUGAUUGAGUUAAAGGAUGCUGACGUCUAACUUUCUUUCCAUCCUCACUAACUACAAGCUUUGAUGAGUUCCGCAAAAUGGAAGCAAGCUGAGAAUUACUAUUUAUGGCAGCUUUGAUCUUCUUAAAGGAAGCAACCACAGAUAUUGGCACAUAUCCCUCAGCAUCCUUCUGUAUAAACCUCAUCAAAUGAUCAGUAGUUGCCAAAUUUAAAUCACUGAAAUAAUACUCGACUUGAUUCAAAAGUUUCUGCACAGCCUCAUCAGAAAGCCCAUUUCUGUCAGCUUUGGACGCAUGAUCUGAUGAUGCUACAUCCUUCUUCGCAGCCGCCUCCAGUUCUUCCUCUGACUGACCCUUCAUUGAAGCGGGAGCAUAAUGAUUUUGAUUCUGAUGAUGCUGAUUCCCAUGAUACUGCAUAGGCAUAUAGUGACUAUUCUGACCGUGAUGAUGAUUGCUAUGGUUCCGAAGCGGAACAUAUUGCUGAUUAUGAUGCUGGUGCUGGUGGUGGUUGUGGUGGUGCGAAUGGGGAUGGGGGUGGUGAUUCUGGACAGCGAUCACGUGAGGAACAGGGACAGGCCUAUGAAUCGGGACAUGAAACGGCGAGGGAGGAGGUGGAGGAUAGAUAUGCAUCAUGGCAGCAGGAGGCGGAGGAGGAGGGACGACAGUGAGCCCAGGAGGAGGAGGAGGAGGAGGAGGGAGGUGAGGGAUGUGAGGGUAGAGGGUUGGGUUGAGGCUUGAGAGUCGAGAAAAUGAGAAAUGUGAUCAAAUGAGGGCAGAGCCAA